GACGAACGCUGGCGGCGUGCUUAACACAUGCAAGUCGAACGGCAAGGCCCUGCUUUUGUGGGGUGCUCGAGUGGCGAACGGGUGAGUAACACGUGAGUAACCUGCUCUUGACUUUGGGAUAACUUCAGGAAACUGGGGCUAAUACCGGAUAGGAGCUCCUGCUGCAUGGUGGGGGUUGGAAAGUUUCGGCGGUUGGGGAUGGACUCGCGGCUUAUCAGCUUGUUGGUGGGGUAGUGGCUUACCAAGGCUUUGACGGGUAGCCGGCCUGAGAGGGUGACCGGCCACAUUGGGACUGAGAUACGGCCCAGACUCCUACGGGAGGCAGCAGUGGGGAAUAUUGCACAAUGGGCGGAAGCCUGAUGCAGCAACGCCGCGUGCGGGAUGACGGCCUUCGGGUUGUAAACCGCUUUCGCCUGUGACGAAGCGUGAGUGACGGUAAUGGGUAAAGAAGCACCGGCUAACUACGUG
rnacentral:rRNA from 1 species